AGCAGCCGCGGUAAUUCCAGCUCCAAUAGCGUAUAUUAAAGUUGUUGCAGUUAAAAGCUCGUAGUUGAAUUUCGGGAUCAAUAUGUCGGUCGUGCCUUCGGUACGUACUGGUAUCAUUGGUCUCUCCUUUCUGACGAACCAUGAUGUCAUUAAUUUGGUGUUAUGGGGAGUUAGGACUGUUACUUUGAAAAAUUAGAGUGUUUAAAGCAGGCUUUAGCUUGAAUACAUUAGCAUGGAAUAAUGAAAUAGGACGUUCGAACCUAUUUUGUUGGUUUCUAGGAUCAACGUAAUGAUUAAUAGGGAUAGUUGGGGGCAUUAGUAUUCAAUUGUCAGAGGUGAAAUUCUUGGAUUUAUUGAAGACUAACUACUGCGAAAGCAUUUGCCAAGGAUGUUUUCAUUAAUCAAGAACGAAAGUUAGGGGAUCGAAGACGAUCAGAUACCGUCGUAGUCUUAACCAUAAACUAUGCCGACUAGGGAUCGGAUGAUGUUAAUUUUUAAUGAC
rnacentral:rRNA from 1 species